UAAUACGGAGGGUGCAAGCGUUGUUCGGAAUCACUGGGCGUAAAGCGCGUGUAGGCGGCCUCCUAAGUCUAGUGUGAAAGCCCGGGGCUUACCCCCGGAAGUGCAUUGGAUACUGGGAGACUAGAGUACCGGAGAGGAGGGUGGAAUUCCUGGUGUAGCGGUGAAAUGCGUAGAUAUCAGGAAGAACACCGGUGGCGAAGGCGGCCCUCUGGACGGAUACUGACGCUGAGACGCGAAAGCGUGGGGAGCAAACAGGAUUAGAUACCCUGGUAGUCCACGCUGUAAACGAUGGGCACUAGGUGCUCGGGGUAUUGACCCCCUGGGUGCCGUAGCUAACGCAUUAAGUGCCCCGCCUGGGGACUACGGCCGCAAGGCU
rnacentral:rRNA from 1 species